rnacentral:rRNA from 1 species
GCAUGCGCAGCUAUAAUGCAGUCGAGGGGCUCAGCAAUGAGCACCGGCGCACGGGUGCGUAACGCGUGGGAACGUACCUCUAGGUGCGGAACAACGUCGGGAAACUGACGCUAAUACCGCAUAAUAUCUCCGGAUCAAAGAUUUAUCGCCUAGGGAUCGGCCCGCGUUGGAUUAGCUAGUUGGUGAGGUAACGGCUCACCAAGGCUACGAUCCAUAGCUGGUCUGAGAGGAUGAUCAGCCACACUGGGACUGAGACACGGCCCAGACUCCUACGGGAGGCAGCAGUAAGGAAUAUUGGACAAUGGGGGCAACCCUGAUCCAGCCAUGCCGCGUGAGUGAUGAAGGCCUUCGGGUUGUAAAGCUCUUUUAGAUGUGACGAUGAUGACGGUAGCAUCAGAAAAAGCUCCGGCUAACUUCGUGCCAGCAGCCGCGGUAAUACGAAGGGAGCGAGCGUUGUUCGGAAUCACUGGGCUUAAAACGUACGUAGGCGGAUCUACAAGUCAGGAGUGAAAUCCCAGGGCUUAACCCUGGAAUUGCUUUUGAAACUGUAAAUCUAGAAUCCGAUAGAGGUUGGCGGAACUCCGAGUGUAGAGGUGAAAUUCGCAGAUAUUCGGAAGAACACCAGUGGCGAAGGCGGCCAACUGGAUCGGUAUUGACGCUGAGGUACGAAAGCGUGGGUAGCAAACAGGAUUAGAUACCCUGGUAGUCCACGCUGUAAACGAUGUGUGCUAGCUGUUGGUGCUUACGGCAUCGGCGGCGCAGGGAAACCAUUAAGCACACCGCCUGGGGAGUACGGUCGCAAGAUUAAAACUCAAAGGAAUUGACGG